rnacentral:rRNA from 3 species
CUAGUACGAGAGGACCGGAGUGGACGCAUCACUGGUGUUCGGGUUGUCAUGCCAAUGGCACUGCCCGGUAGCUAAAUGCGGAAGAGAUAAGUGCUGAAAGCAUCUAAGCACGAAACUUGCCCCGAGAUGAGUUCUCCCUGAGACUUAGAGUCUCCUGAAGGAACGUUGAAGACGACGACGUUGAUAGGCCGGGUGUGUAAGCGCAGCGAUGCGUUGAGCUAACCGGUACUAAUGAACCGUGAGGCUUAACCUUACAACGCCGAAG